CUAACACAGAUCUCAAAUAAUACACUAUACUUGUGCUCCUUUUUUGAACAUGAAUCUGACCUAUCACUUAACUAAUAAUGUUUCUCUGGUCCUUAUUUUAAGCCACUUCAAAAUGGAGCCCCAAGUAUGCUGAAGUGGGAGUUGGAGGGGUAUCACUCUUUAGUAGUACUCUUACGUCGCUAAAGAAUAAACUUUAUCUUGCGGAGUCAUAACGUAUGAUAACGUAUCUUUACUUUCUGAUAUUAGUGUUUAUGGAACCUGAAGAAUUACUUGUUCUCUAAUGAGACUUUUUCCGAUUUGACAUAGAAAAGCAGGAAGAAAUUGGUUAAAUGAUAGCUACAUUUAUUCAGAUUGUAGCUUAAAUGGCUUUGAAAGGAUACUACUAUAUCAAGAAUUUUUUUCUUCUAUCAUCAGUCUGAAAAAAUAUUCACUGUAUAACUUAUAUGAAAAAAUAUCCACUUUAUAACAUAUUAUUUACAACAUUAAUGCAGAUACAAACAACCCUCUGUUGAGAGAAUUCUGAGAGUGUCUUACCACAGUUCUCCAGAGCAUGUUUAUUUUGCACCUCUUCUGUGAAGGCCGGCGAAAUAGCUUCUUGUAAGGUUAUAGUGACUCCCAUCACAAACUCCAGCUGAACUAACCUGGAAGAGUAUCCUCCCUGACAGCUCUGGAAGGAAAUUGACAGAACUUUCAUAAAGCCAAAGACUGGCAGAAAUAAAGUAAAUAAUGAUAAAACUGAGCAAUAGAUCACCCAGAAGGAGUGUCCCCUGCCAAAAGGAAUGUGGCAUUUCACCCUCUGAGAAACAAAUGGACACCCUGUCCCACGGAAGACUGGGGCUUACAUGUCACUGUCACUCACUUCUUUAUCCUUUCGCCAAAGGAAGCCACUUCAUCUAGGAUGUUCUGGACACUGACACAUACCUCCUGGAUGGCGUAGAUUUUAUUUAUAAAUCCCUUUUUUUCACUGUCCUAAAAUGCAAUUAAAAAAAAAAUUCUGUAUGAGU